GCAAAGAUUUCGAGUAGCACUUCAUACUACCGUGGGUUUUUUAAACCUUCCCCUAGUUUUGUCGAUGUUAUUCCGAGAAUUAGCAAACCGUAACGAAGAUGUUCUUGGCAACCAUCUUUUGAUGGGAGUCCGGCUGUUCGAUAGCCGGCCAAGGGUGAUGAACGAAAUGUGAACCCUUGUCUCGCCUAGGUUGGAUGGGCGUGCUUCGUUGGAAAGCAUGGAUCCGCCUAGGCUGUCCCGAGUGUGAGCGAGGUGUGAGUGUCGCCCAUGGGCAUCGACACCUUGCGGCUAGGAACUGGAACGAGACG